GCGCAUGCGCCGAAGGAGGGGGGGGGAAGGACCCGUCUUAGUUACCUCUGUUCCUUCUCCAGAGUUGGCUCUCUUUGGUCAGGCAGCAGCCUUGCGCUGGCUUUCCUGGGGCUAAGAGGUGCCUCAGGGCGUGAUUUCAUGGAGGUCUUGCGAUAUCUCGCCCAAACCCAGAAGCUUCUGCAGCGGGGGGGGAGCAUGGAGGGGCUCCUUGAAUUCUGCCACCUGAGGAGGCUACCUCAGUUUGCCUCAUGGAUGGGCCGGCCCGCCGAUCCUGUGCUUGCAGUGGCUAGCAAAUGCCUAUGGAAAGGCCACAUCGCUCUCUCACUAGCGAUACUCUAGUGAGUAUCUAUGGAGACAGGACAGCCAUCAUGAUUAGUAACCCUUGAUAGCUUGAUCCUCUGUGAUUUUGUCUGAACCCUCAUAACAGGUCUUUAGAAAUGAGGCUGAGUAAGGCGGGGGUGGAAAUCCAGGCUGUUGCAUCUAAAGAUGACCUGGAUGUAUAUCUCCAACAUAACAGAUUCAUGCACUGAACAGAUUCAUGCACUGAUUGAGAAUAAAUUCCUCGGCAUUGUCUUUGCUACCAAUGAGUUCCAUCAGUGUGUUUUUGGCAAUGCUGUAUCAAAGUCCAAGGAAAUCAGCCCUGAGUGCUCACUGGAAGGACAGAUCCUGAAGCUGAGGCUCCAAUACUUUGGCCACCUAGGUCAUGAGAAGAGAAGACUCCCUGGAAAAGACCCUGAUGCUGGGAAAGAUGGAGGGCACAAGGAGAAGGGGACGACAGAGGACGAGAUGGUGGGACAGUGUUCUUGAAGCUACCAGCAUGAGUUUGACCAAACUGCGGGAGGCAGUGGAAGACAGAAGUGCCUGGCGUGCUCUGGUCCAGGGGGUCAUGAAGAGUCGGACACAACUAAACAACAGCAACAACAACAUAUCAAAGUCCACUGUGAUCAUAAGCUGUCAGAGACAAUCUUCACCAACCCUUUGGGAAGGUCUGCCGGUCUUCAGUGGAUGCAUCUGUAGUUGACUAAGUAUGAUUUCCACAUUGUGUAAGCUAAGGGCACAGACAUGGUUGUUCCCUACACUCAUGUAGAACUUAAGAUAAGGGUCAGUGGAAAGGCCAUUCCAUAGGCGAGGUGCCACCAUGAAGAAGGCCCUUGUGUGAAGCCACAUUGAGUGAUUACUGGCUUUGGGCCCGCUGCUAGAACAUGUCUGAAGACAGCAUCCACACGGCUGGGACUCCAUGGUAUGUGUGUCCUGAUCUCAUGGAAGCCUAUGUAUAAGCAGUUGCACAUGCAUAGGCCUUGCAGAAAGUCAGUGGACAAUCCAGGAAUGUUGGCAGCAGCAUGACAUACUCCCAGUAAUCGUGUGGUUCAUGUGCAAAGCAGGUUUAGCUGUGCACAUGAUUUCAGCCCCAAACAGCAAGGCAAGUUACAAAGGCAACUCCUAGAAGAUACAUAUAUGAACUAUAGUUAUACCGUUCUGAGAACACGGGUCACAUUUUACAGAGGGGGAACAUUGCCAGGUAAUUGACUAGCCCAGAUUUGAUCUGGAAAUCUAUGACAGAAUAUUAUUAAGAAUAUAUUGCAUACAUAACAUGUGUGCAGGAGGGGUGCUGGGGUUUGAUCACUAUCUACAGCCUCCCUAUACAUUUAAAAUAAUUGAUCAAUAAAUUAACGGUGUUGUUGGAAACCUGUUUCCUUGCUCAGACUGCUCCUGCCGUCCACCCUCCCCACUACAGACUUCAGUUGCAAUUCUGUCUUGGUUUCCUCUAAUCUGAGGGUUUAGAGAAGCAGGGAGAACUAGUCAAUGAUAAAUAUGUAGGGCAGGAUUCACCAAAUUAGGCAAAUGCAGGGAGAGGAGGCAUUGUUUGGUCUGGCAAGUUGAAAUGCUUGUGCAGACUGAAGGUUCUUAAUAGCAUUAUGUUGUAUUCCACCCAUUUAUUUGCAUUGAACACUGAGGAAUUUACUCAUAGGUGGUGGAACCAGCAGCUCUCUUUAAAAUAACUUGUUUAAUGCAAAUUUAUUUCCUUGACUCGGGGAGGAUUUAUGGUUAUGUGAUCAGAAAUUAGAGUUUUAGAUAUCAGAGUUGAUGUAUAAAUAUCAGGUAUCAGUGCAAACAAAUGCAGAGAUUUAUGGACAACUUUAGCAGAGAGGCCUCUGUGGGGGCCUAUUUCCUGUAUCUUCAGAUUUUGCUACCAUAGGCGGGGGAGGAGGACAAAGUAGCUGCUUUGUUGAAAUCCAGAUGCAGAUUGAACAGAACUCUGAAAAUCACUUUUGCCCUAGUUAAAUUAAAACAAUAGAAAUGUACAAACCCACUGGUUUUUAAUAUAUAUAUUUUUAUUAAAGAUUUUGUGGUUUACAAAAAUACACGUAUUGUUUCUUUUUUCAAGUUGUGUUUUCUACAGAUCAGUUUCAUUUGUUGUGAGACAUUGAAAUACUUUAUUGUCACUUGUACAACUUGUAUACAGUGAGAUUACACGAGCACCCCCCCAGCUCUCUUAGUCUUAAUUCCCCUCGUUUAUUGACACACACACACCAAACCCGAAAGUCAGUUGCCCUGUUGUUAUCUUUUCAUUCAGCAGCCUAACAGCCCACGGAUAGAAGCUGUUCUUUACCCUGCGACUAAUCAUGCUUCUAUAUCUUCUACCUGAGGGCAGGAGAUCAAGAAAGUGCCGGCCAGGGUGUGAAUCAUCCCUGAGAAUUUUCCUCACUCUCCUGAGGCAACGUUCUUCCGCUAUUUCAUCCAGCGGAUUCACGGGACAGCCCAUAAUAUCUUGUGCUGUUUUCACUACCCUCUGUAGGCACUUCCUAUCAAUUGAUGUCAAAUCAGCGUACCACACCGUGAUGCAGUAUGAAAGGACACUUUCUAUUGUGGACCGGUAGAAGGAGAUCAUCAAAUGUUGAUUGACAUCGUUCUUUCACAAUACUCUGAGGAGAUAUGGUCUCUGUUGGGCUUUCUUAACCACCUGGGUUGUAUUGAUUUUCCAAGUAAGGUCUUCACUGAGAUAAACUCCUAGGAAUUUAAAGGAAGAGACUCUCUCCACAUAGCCCUCCCCGAUGUACAGUGGGGCUAGUUCUCUCUUCCUCCAAAAGUCCAACACCAUCUCCUUUGUCUUGCUGAUAUUAAGGUGCAAGUUGUUUCCUAGGCACCAUGUAGAUAUUUUUUUAUUGCAUUCAGUAUUAGGUUAGGAAGAAAAGAGAGGGGAAGAGGGGGAGGGGUGGGUUGGGUGGGUUGGGUGGUUAUGCUUCUAUAGUGGAACCUCAGCUUUUGAAUGUAAUCCGUUCCAGAAGUCCAUUCGACUUCUGAAACGUUAGAAAACCAAGGAUCAGAGGGUUCCAGACAGACAGGCUGCAAAGUCAAUGGGGGGAAAUGAAAAAUGCGCCUCAGAAGCCAUUCGACUUCCGAGGCACGUUUCGAAAACAGAAGCAUUCACUUCCAGGUUUUCAACGUUCAGCUUCCGCAACAUUUGGCAGCCAAGACAUUCAAAAACCAAGGUUUGACUGUACUUAGGGUAUGUGUCAGGUUUUGUAUUAGUGUCACCUGUCUGGGUUCUCUUACUAUUUGCUUGUUGUAUUUCCUUGGUGGUGAGAGAGGUUGGGGGUGGCCUAGAGUGUGGUUGGUUGUCUUUGGUUGGCUGUAGUGAGAUUAGUUUUUUUGUGAGAGUGGGGUGUGUGGCUACGUAUUUUUGGAUCAGGCUAGCCAGAUUGAUUUGUAUGCUGUUGGCAGAUUCUUCUUAUUGUCUUCUUGGGCAAAAUAUGUGUUAAAGGGGAACCAUACCUAUCGUUUGUGGUAGGGAGUGGUCAGUGAGACGGUGUUAAGCGCCUUCGUGACGCCUGUGUUGGGUAUAAAGUUUAUAAGCAAUGUUGUCAGUGUUGUUAACAUCAUUAUUGGUUUGUUGGGGUGGGGAUAUGGGUAUUGGCAUGCUCUGGCACCACCAUUGUGCUGGGUCACUUUUUGGCUAAAGAGUAGGGUGCAAAUGCUCUAACAUAUUAUCAGAAGUGUGUUAUAAUAAUAAUAAUAAUAAUAAUAAUAAUAAUAAUAAUAUAUUAUUUAUACCCCACCCAUCUGGCAGGGUUUCCCCAGCCACUCUGGACAGCUCCCAACAAAAUAUUAAAAUACAAUAGUCUGUCAAACAUUAAAAGCUCCCCUAAACAGGGCUGCUGUCAGAUGUCUUCUAAAAGUCUGGUAGUUGUUUUUCUCUUUGACAUCUGGUGGGAGGGCGUUCCACAGGGCAGGUGCCACUACGGAGAAGGCUCUCUGUCUGGUUCCCUGUAACUUGGCUUCUUGCAGCGAGGGAACCGCCAGAUGGCCCUCGGCACUGGACCUCAGUGUCCGGGCAGAACGACGGGGGUGGAGACGCUCCUUCAGGAAAACUGGACCGAGCCACCUGUGUUAGUACUGUACUGCAAUACUCCUGUCUGAAACUUUGGCCAAAACUUUUGUACGUGUUCCGACUGGCUACCUCCUACUUAGACUACAGUAGCCUCUUCCUCCUCAAUUCCCCCCUUCUGUGUACAGUGGUACCUCUGGUGACGUACUUAAUUCGUUCCGGAGAUCCAUUCUUAACCUGAAACUGUUCUUAACCUGAAGCACCACUUUAGCUAAUGGGGCCUCCUGCUGCUGCCACACCACUGGAGCACGAUUUCUGUUUUCAUCCUGAAGCAAAGUUCUUAACCUGAAGCACUAUUUCUGGGUUAGUGAAGUCUGUAACCUGAAGCGUAUGUAACCUGAGGUACCAACUGUAUUUCCUUUAUUGGGAGCACUUCUGUUAAUUUGGUCUCUUCUCAACACUAAUCAUGCCACCAACCACAGAAGUUAGAGGGAUAUAUCUGAUUAACAGUGCAAACUUAACCAUGCCUACUCAGAAGUCAUACUCAAUUCAGUGGGGAUUCUCCCAGGUAAUGGGGUAAGGAUUUCUGCCCCAAGUCUUCUAGUAGUUAGGGCAGGCCUAGCCCACCCAUGAGGCAAGGUGAGGCAAGUGCCUCAGGUGGCAGACUCCAAGGUGCAGCAGAUCCACCCACCAAGGAAUGCAUUGCCAGUUGCCACUGCCAUGGUGGCAGUAACAGCUAUGGCAUGCUCCUUGGAGGCCACAUCUGCUGUCCCCUCAGCAACCCCCCCAUGCUGCUUCUACAGUGGUCUCUUGGUGAUUAGGAGGUGCUUCUGGACUCCUCCCACCCUUGUUCCUGAUGCAGAACUUUGCUCACUACUUCUUCUCUGGCAGGGAGCACCAUUUUGUGGUUUGUCUCACAUGGCAAAAUGUCUUGGGCCAAUCUUGGGUCUGAGGCACAGGGUCCUACCUGGUCCCUCACCUUGACCACCAGACUAAACAACGUAAAAUAUAAGGAAUAAGUGGGAACCUAUAAGGAACCGUAUGUUCUGUUUUUGCUCCCCUCCCUUUCUUUCCCUCACAACAGACAUUUCCCUGAAGGAAGGGACGGAACUCAGAUAAAACUUCCUGAGAGCUCAACCCCCACCCACCCACAACUACUGCAGAUGCAAAGAAAGGGCUCCCUGACUAUCAGCUCAAUCUGGGAGGAUGUUAAACAUCAUGGGUCUAAGGGAGAGACUUGCCAAAUCCAGAGCAUGUUUAAGACGUACUGCAGGACUGUGGCUGCCAGAGGCUUGAAAGAACACAGGAAGAGGACAUCUGGGUUGUAAUGCAGUUUUGGUUUUAAUGCCCUAAAGUGCUAUUGUCUUCUCGUUCCUUCGGCAGGUAUCAAACUAAAGCAAGUUGUGAGAAACCUGCUCUCUGCUGGGGAUUCAUCCAACACGGGCACAGUAAGACAGAAGCACUCUUUGACAGUGGUUUGAUGAAGGUGCUGUGCACAUUUAGACCAUUGAUCCAUCUAGCCUUACUAGAAGCUAGUCCAAUCCCAUCCUCAAUGCAGGAAAUCCAGAGUUCAAGCAUCUCCCAACAGAUGGCUGUCCACCUGCAGUGAAGGAGAGGUCACCUGAAAUCCUCUUAGCAGGAAAAGGCAUGGGAUUGAACCCGAAACUUCCUGCAUGCAAAUCAUAGGCUCUACCACUGAGCUACAGCCUCUCCUCACUGGGUAGAUUGGUUCUGAGUGGGAGCGGGGAAGCUGUGACCCUCCAGAUGUUGUUGGACUAAAACUCCAGUCAUCAUCCUUGCCAUUGGGCCAUGCUGUCUGGGGCUAAUGGGAGUCCAAGAACAUCAGGAGGACCACAAGACACUCCUCCAUUCCUGGUUUAAAUUAAGGUACAGUGUUACCUUUAUUUAUAGCUGCAACUGGUCACCACAGCAUGUCUGCGUGUGAAGCAAGAAGGGGGAAGCUGGAAGGGUCAGUGUGUGGGGGUGGGAGGGUACACACUUUAUUAUUAUUUCAAUACAGUGGUACCUCAGGUUACAUACGCUUCAGGUUACAGAUGCUUCAGCUUACAGACUCCGCUAACCCAGAAAUAGUACCUCGGGUUAAGAACUUUGCUUCAGGAUGAGAACAGAAAUUGCACGGCGGCGGCGUGGCAGCAGGAGUCCCCAUUAGCUAAAGUGGUACCUCAGGUUAAUAACAGUUUCAGGUUAAGAACGGACCUCCAGAACAAAUUAAGUUCUUAACCCAAGGUACCACUGUAAUAAUGAUUUAAAUCGCCAGGGAAAAUGGCCACUUUAAAUCAUGAAUUUGAAUCCUGUUUCCCAUUGCAGAUUUGUACUUAGGUUUGUUAGACAGCAGCCCCCUAGUUCCAAGAUCUCCUUUUGAGACUAGGAGGAGUUUCAGAAACAGCUUGUGAUAUUUAGCAAGGGGGUUCACAGGGUUUGUAUGUGCCCAUGCGUUUGCCAUUCAAAGGGGAAAAGUCAAUUCUGCUAGGCCUGCUCAAAGCACUUGACCGUCUGCCUACUAUAUCUCUGAGUCCCAGCCCAUGAACCUUGACCUUACCUUCUCCCAGCGGGUGUGUGCGCAUAUUAUAGGGUCACAUCCACGCCAUAUGUUUAAAGCACAUGGCUUCCUUCAAAGAAUCCUGGGAAGCAUCAGUUGUUAAGGAUGUUGGGAAUUUCAGCUCUGUGAGGGGUAAACUACAGAUCCCAGAAUUGUUUUGGGAAAGCCGUGUGCUUGUUCCUAAGCAGCACCAUGUCAAAAUAACUGUUUUCGCAGCAUAAUGCACAUUUGCACAGUUCCUUUGGCAUGGUGCUUCUUACAAGUAAGCUGCCAUAAGAGGCGCUUUGCAGCGAUCAGUUUAGUUCCAUUUUAAAUGGGCUUAAAGCUAGAAUAGAUUACAGAUUGCAGUUCACAGCCAUGGGAUGGGUUACUAAAGCAGGUAAAGGGUUAUGAGAAGAUCCUUCUAGCAGACCAUGUGAGCUUCUCUCAGUGGAAACCCUAAGAAACCAAAUAACUUAUCAAGAAAGCUCCGCAUUCAGGUUUGCAUUGAAAAUUUGUUUGUUUUCUUUCUUUGCUCUUACACUAACGUGAACAGUCACUGUAUAUUUUUUUUUAAUUCUGCAUUAUUUUUCUUCAAUAAAAUAAUUAUGAACC
rnacentral:lncRNA from 1 species